GACGAACGCUGGCGGCGUGCUUAACACAUGCAAGUCGAACGGAAAGGCCCUGCUUUUGUGGGGUGCUCGAGUGGCGAACGGGUGAGUAACACGUGAGUAACCUGCCCUUGACUUUGGGAUAACUUCAGGAAACUGGGGCUAAUACCGGAUAGGAGCUCCUGCUGCAUGGUGGGGGUUGGAAAGUUUCGGCGGUUGGGGAUGGACUCGCGGCUUAUCAGCUUGUUGGUGGGGUAGUGGCUUACCAAGGCUUUGACGGGUAGCCGGCCUGAGAGGGUGACCGGCCACAUUGGGACUGAGCUACGGCCCAGACUCCUACGGGAGGCAGCAGUGGGGAAUAUUGCACAGUGGGCGGAAGCCUGAUGCAGCAACGCCGCGUGCGGGAUGACGGCCUUCGGGUUGUAAACCGCUUUCGCCUGUGACGAAGCGUGAGUGACGGUAAUGGGUAAAGAAGCACCGGCUAACUACGUG
rnacentral:rRNA from 1 species